GGACAACCUACCCUGAGGACGGGGAUAAACCCGGGAAACUGGGUAUAAUACCCGAUAGGCCUUGGAUGCUGGAAUGCACCAAGGCCUAAAGCUCCGGCGCCUCAGGAUGGGUCUGCGGCCUAUCAGGGUAGUAGUGGGUGUAAUGUACCUACUAGCCUACGACGGGUACGGGUUGUGAGAGCAAGAGCCCGGAGAUGGAUUCUGAGACACGAAUCCAGGCCCUACGGGGUGCAGCAGGCGCGAAAACUUUACAAUGCUGGCAACAGCGAUAAGGGGACCUCGAGUGCCAGGAUACAAUCUUGGCUGUCGUGAUGCCUAAAAAGCAUUACAUAGCAAGGGCCGGGCAAGACCGGUGCCAGCCGCCGCGGUAACACCGGCGGCUCGAGUGGUAACCGCUAUUAUUGGGUCUAAAGGGUCUGUAGCCGGCCGACUAAGUCUCUUGGGAAAUCUGGUAGCUCAACUGUCAGGCUUUCAGGGGAUACUGGUCGGCUCGAGACCGGGAGAGGUGAGAGGUACUUCAGGGGUAGGGGUGAAAUCUUGUAAUCCUUGAAGGACCACCAGUGGCGAAGGCGUCUCACCAGAACGGAUCUGACGGCAAGGGACGAAAGCUAGGGGCACGAACCGGAUUAGAUACCCGGGUAGUCCUAGCCGUAAACGAUACUCGCUAGGUGUCAGCCACGGUGCGACCGUGGUUGGUGCCGUAGGGAAGCCGUGAAGCGAGCCACCUGGGAAGUACGGCCGCAAGGCUGAAACUUAA
rnacentral:rRNA from 1 species